rnacentral:misc_RNA from 1 species
AACGCACAUUGCGCCCGCCAGUAUUCUGGCGGGCAUGCCUGUUCGAGCGUCAUUUCAACCAUCAAGCCCUAGGCUUGCGUUGGGGGCCUGCGGCUGCCGCAGCCUCCUAAAAGCAGUGGCGGGCUCGCUGUCAUUCCGAGCGCAGUAGUUACAUCUCGCUCUGGGUGUGGCAGUGGGCACUGGCCGUAAAACACUCUUUCUAAGGUUGACCUCGGAUCAGGUAGGAAUACCCGCUGAACUUAA